UGGGUAGAGCAGACAAUCGCGUCUUCCCCUUUGAGGGAAGAUGAGGAAAGUCCGGGCUCCACAGGGCAGGAUGCCGGAUAACGUCCGGCGUAGGUAACUAUAGGGAAAGUGCAACAGAAACAUUCCGCCGAAACGGGUAAUGCCGUGGUAAGGUUGAAAUGGUGAGGUAAGAGCUCACCGGCGGUACGGAGACGUACCGGCCGUGUAAACCCCAUCCGGAGCAAGACCAAAGAGGGGCUUAAGGCAGUUGCCCGCUGCCUCCCGGGAGGUAGGUCGCUGGAGCUUGUCAGCAAUGGCAAGUCGAGAUAGAUGAUUGUCAAAUACAGAACCCGGCUUAUAGCUCUGCCCAGGUU
rnacentral:RNase_P_RNA from 1 species